rnacentral:pre_miRNA from 1 species
UUUCAUAGGUCUGAUCUAAAGCCCUUUGAAAUCAGUGGAAGUUUUUCCAUUGACUUCAGUGGCCUUUGGAUCAGGCCCACUAAG